CAUUGUUUAGCAAUUAGAUCUCUUAGUUUUUGUUCCAUGCUUCUACUGUUCUACCCUUUUCGUAUUUUCCUUUUAUAUUUUCCCUGCGAUGUCGUUGCUCUGAUUAGCUUUGAUUAUCUCUUCCCCUCUUCUUCUACUCUGAUAUUUGGCCCUUUUCUCUCUCCUCAUUUCUCUGCAACCCGCAUUCUCAGCCAAUCAACCAUAGGGUUCUAAACUUUCACUUUCCUUUCUCAUAAUUCAGUCCAUCAACUACCAAAACAUUUAACUCCUAAAAUAAAUCAAUUUCAAUUCGAAACUCUAAAUUCUUACAACGUGGUCGAUGAACAUCUGAAGAUUUCUGCAAAACUAGGGUAUCAAUUCUUCAUAAAAUGGUACUCCGUAUUUAUUUCUAUAACGAUACCAGGGAUACUGGAUCAUGAAGCCAGAGGCCGAUUCCUAAUAUGACAAUUAGUUGCGAGCUGCAAAUUCAGUUCGGGUAUGCUUGAGAAACUCAAUGGUUUGUGUUCGACCAACACUUUGUUAGUCACAUUCUCCUAAUUACCAUUUUUUUUGGUCAAGAGUUGUUCUUGACUUCUUUGGAGUCUUAGCCCUAAUUUUUCCGCCGGUGAAAAGUGGAAGCCCUUGAAGCAACCUAAGAAGGAUAGACUGAGUUGGAUGAGGUAUUGUGGCAUCUGACGCCGUAGACAUCUUACCUCAGUCUGGCAGCCCUUGGAAUUGCAAGCAUUCAAGGACUGGUUGUUGCUUCAGAGAGAUGAUGUUGAUCGUCAUUGAUCGUCAUUGAUCGUCAUUUUUUCUGUAUAAUAUAGGAGAAAGGUAGACAUCCACACUUAAUCAUCAAAAUGGCCAAUAUUCAGUGACUUGAACAAUUAAAUUGGUUAGCUUGGUAACUUGUUUACCCACUUAAUCUUAAUUAUGAAUUAUUGGCAUAUACACUCCCACAAGGCUUAUGAAGUUAUGAGUCUACUAGGUGAAUAUUAGUGACAUUUCUAAUCUAUAUGUAUGUUCUCCUAAAAUGCUUCCCUACUUUAUUUUCCAUUAGAGGAAAUUUGGAUAAGUUUUCCUGGCAUGAUUUUUUUUUUUAAUGUUGGAGUUGUACCGAAACUGAGAUUUGAAUAAUUCAAUAAACAAGUUAGAUUGAGAGA